rnacentral:rRNA from 1 species
UAUACAUGCAAGUCGAACGGCAGCACGGGUAGCAAUACCUGGUGGCGAGUGGCGCACGGGUGCGUAACGCGUAUGCAAUCUACCUAUAACUGGGGAAUAGCCUUCCGAAAGGAAGAUUAAUACCGCAUAAUAUCACGAAGCGGCAUCGUUUUGUGAUCAAAUCUCCGGAGGUUAUAGAUGAGCAUGCGUGACAUUAGCUAGUUGGUGAGGUAACGGCUCACCAAGGCUACGAUGUCUAGGGGGUCUGAGAGGAUGAUCCCCCACACUGGUACUGAGACACGGACCAGACUCCUACGGGAGGCAGCAGUAAGGAAUAUUGGACAAUGGCCGCAAGGCUGAUCCAGCCAUGCCGCGUGCAGGAUGAAGGUGCUCUGCAUUGUAAACUGCUUUUGUUCGGGAAUAAACCCCUCUACGUGUAGAGGGCUGAAUGUACCGAAAGAAUAAGGGACGGCUAACUUCGUGCCAGCAGCCGCGGUAAUACGAAGGUCCCAAGCGUUAUCCGGAUUUAUUGGGUUUAAAGGGUGCGUAGGCGGGUUAUUAAGUCAGUGGUGAAAGCCUUCAGCUUAACUGAAGAAUUGCCAUUGAUACUGAUGAUCUUGAGUAUGAUUGAGGUUGGCGGAAUGUGUCAUGUAGCGGUGAAAUGCUUAGAUAUGACACAGAACACCGAUUGCGAAGGCAGCUAACUAAGCCAUAACUGACGCUGAUGCACGAAAGCGUGGGGAGCAAACAGGAUUAGAUACCCUGGUGGUCCACGCCCUAAACGAUGAUCACUCGAUGUGUGCGAUACACUGUACGCGUCUGAGCGAAAGCAUUAAGUGAUCCACCUGGGGAGUACGACCGCAAGGUUGAAACUCAAAGGAAUUGACGGGGGCCCGCACAAGCGGAGGAGCAUGUGGUUUAAUUCGAUGAUACGCGAGGAACCUUACCAGG